GAUGAACGCUGGCGGCGUGCCUAAUACAUGCAAGUCGAGCGAACGGACGAGAAGCUUGCUUCUCUGAUGUUAGCGGCGGACGGGUGAGUAACACGUGGAUAACCUACCUAUAAGACUGGGAUAACUUCGGGAAACCGGAUCUAAUACCGGAUAAUAUUUUGAACCGCAUGGUUCAAAAGUGAAAGACGGUCUUGCUGUCACUUAUAGAUGGAUCCGCGCUGCAUUAGCUAGUUGGUAAGGUAACGGCUUACCAAGGCAACGAUGCAUAGCCGACCUGAGAGGGGGAUCGGCCACACUGGAACUGAGACACGGUCCAGACUCCUACGGGAGGCAGCAGUAGGGAAUCUGCCGCAAUGGGCGAAAGCCUGACGGAGCAACGCCGCGUGAGUGAUGAAGGUCUUCGGAUCGUAAAACUCUGUUAUUAGGGAAGAACAUAUGUGUAAGUAACUGUGCACAUCUGGACGGUACCUAAUCAGAAAGCCACGGCUAACUACGU
rnacentral:rRNA from 1 species